AUUGAACGCUGGCGGCAGGCCUAACACAUGCAAGUCGAGCGGAGCGGCGGACGGGUGAGUAAUGCCUAGGAAUCUGCCUGUGAGUGGGGGAUAACGACAGGAACCGGGCGCUAAUACCGCAUACUCUUAGCUGAGCCUAGGUCGGAUUAGCUAGUUGGGGGGGUAAAGGCCUACCAGGGCGACGAUCCGAAACUGGUCUGAGAGGAUGAUCAGUCACACUGGAACUGAGACACGGUCCAGACUCCUACGGGAGGCAGCAGUGGGGAAUAUUGCACAAUGGGCGCAAGCCUGAUGCAGCCAUGCCGCGUGUAUGAAGAAGGCCUUCGGGUUGUAAAGUACUUUCAGUCGGGAGGCGUUACCGACAGAAGAAGCACCGGCUAACUCCGUGCCAGCCGCCGCGGUAAUUC
rnacentral:rRNA from 1 species